rnacentral:rRNA from 1 species
UACGUAGGGUGCGAGCGUUAAUCGGAAUUACUGGGCGUAAAGCGUGCGCAGGCGGUUUGCUAAGACCGAUGUGAAAUCCCCGGGCUUAACCUGGGAACUGCAUUUGUGACUGCAUAGCUAGAGUACGGUAGAGGGGGAUGGAAUUCCGCGUGUAGCAGUGAAAUGCGUAGAUAUGCGGAGGAACACCGAUGGCGAAGGCAAUCCCCUGGACCUGUACUGACGCUCAUGCACGAAAGGCGUGGGGAGCAAACAGG